ACCUUUGUGGUGUAAUGGCUAGCACACUCGGUGCGUAUUUGAGAGGGCCGAGGUUCGAGUCCCGGCGAGGGCA
rnacentral:tRNA from 1 species